rnacentral:sRNA from 1 species
AUGCCCACUAAUUGCAUGUGGUUGUCAAUUCUAUACUGGAUUAUUGAUCAUGCUAUUGUCAAUACUUAUAUCCUUCAUUGACUGGCUACUACUGGUACUACUGGCACUACUGGCAUGACUGACACUACUGACACUGCUAUAUCUCAUGUUGAAUUCUGUUGGCAGCUCUAUCUUCAACUCCUGGAAUUCUCAAAUCCUCUACCUACUACUCAAUCAAAUUCAGAUCUAAAUCACCAUCAAAUUCCUCUGUCAGGACCUUGAGCUUGUGUCUGGUGUCAAUAUAAAAGAAAGAGAACAGAGCAGAAUAAAGAUAGAGCUCUGUAACGGGCGUACUACCGAUUAACGGUUUAAGCACUAUCCUAAUACAGUUUACGAAUUGAUUAAGGAAAGAAAGAGAAAAGAGAUCGAAAGGAAAGGUCGUACGAGGGGUUCUUAUAGGAGCGUG